CAGAGGGUGCGAGCGUUAAUCGGAAUUACUGGGCGUAAAGCGCGCGUAGGCGGCUUUGCAAGUCGGGUGUGAAAUCCCCAGGCUUAACCUGGGAACUGCAUUCGAGACUGCAUUGCUAGAGUAUGGGAGAGGGAAGUGGAAUUUCCGGUGUAGCGGUGAAAUGCGUAGAUAUCGGAAGGAACAUCAGUGGCGAAAGCGACUUCCUGGACCAAUACUGACGCUCAUGUGCGAAAGCGUGGGGAGCAAACAGGAUUAGAUACCCUGGUAGUCCACGCCAUAAACGAUGAGAACUGGAUGUCGGGGGGGUCUGCCUCUCGGUGUCGUAGCUAACGCGUUAAGUUCUCCGCCUGGGGAGUACGGCCGCAAGGUUA
rnacentral:rRNA from 1 species